AUGUCCAAAAGAAAAGAGGUGCCUCCUUUAACUGAAAGCAACUUCCCCCACAUUGGAGAACCAGAUCCCUGGCCCUUUUAGCCCCGGCAUCACCUUGGUGAACCUUCAAGAAUGUGCCCAUACACAAAAGAGAAUUUGCUCCUCCUUCUGGGAAAUGCUCCCUUAGGGCCCCAUCAAGUUUGCCAGAACCAGUUGAAAGUUCAGCAAUCUUAACUGUACUUCAGGAGGUCAGAUCUAGCUGAGGUCCAGGCUAUAAAAGUGUUAGCAUGUAGGUGUGGACUGCAGUGCAGAGAGAGAGAGAGAGAGGGAGAGAGGGAGAGAGGGAGAGAGACAGGGGGACCCCGCGUGUUCCGCAAAGUGCCUCUCUCCUGCACCCAGCCAUGAGUGGAUGAAAUAAUUCCUCCUUUGUCCACCAGCUGGCUUUCAAAGCUGUCGGGAUGAGCCCUGCUGGACCUGUCUGGGAAGCUUGUUAAACUGCACCGAUGAACUCAUCUAUUCCCCAAAUUGUGCUGAUGACCUCAUCAUCUGCAGCUGUGCAGCUCGAAGCUCGCCCACCCUCCAACUCCCCGGGGAUCACAUCUGGUGGGGAGCCUUGGUACCUGGGGCGGACACAUCUGGAGGUGACUGUCUCUGGAAAUGGAGUGUUUUGUAACCUCCUUUCACUCUUAUCGAUGCAGCCAAGUGGCAGAGAAGGCUUCGGCAAUUUUCUCCCUGGGAAGACAGCCCUUUGGUCUUCAUUCAGUAAGGAUUUGCAGGGGAAAACAGUGAGGUUAAGCUUAGCGCUUCAGAUCCCUUUUCAUUUUUCAUGUAUACAUUCAUGAGUCAUUGCAGAAAUGAUAUUGGCGGGCGCCUAGGGGGCUCUUUCGGCUAAGUUUUGACUCUGGGUUUCAGCUCAGGUCAUGAUCUCACGGUUCAUGAGUUCAAGCCCUGCAUCAGGCUCCAUCCGCGACAGAAGUACAGAGCCCUCUUGGGAUUCUCUCUCUCCCUCUUUCUCUGCCCUUCCCCUGCUCAUGCUCUCUCUCUCUCUCCAAAUAAAUAAAUUAACUGGAAAAAAAAAAAA